rnacentral:rRNA from 1 species
UACGGAGGGUGCGAGCGUUGUCCGGAAUCAUUGGGCGUAAAGGGCGCGUAGGUGGCCACUUCAAGCGUGCGGUGAAAGUCGGGGGCUCAACCCCUGAUCGGCCGUGCGAACUGGGGGGCUGGAGCACUGUAGAGGCAGGCGGAAUUCCGGGUGUAGCGGUGGAAUGCGUAGAGAUCGGGAGGAACAUCAGUGGCGAAGGCGGCCAUCUGGGACAACACUGACGCUGAAGCACGAAAGCGUGGGGAGCAAACAGG